rnacentral:lncRNA from 1 species
AGUGCGACAGCUUCAGAGCUGAUGGAGAGACAGAGAGCACGCAACUGGAAAAAAUCAGACAUGGAAUUCAUGGAUUAACUGGUCACCAAUUGUUUCAGCAUUGCGUAUUGAAUAAUACAACCUUCUUCCACUGCCGUGAAAUGUCAACAGCUGCUCUCCCACUAGAUAGGGCGUAGCUUUCCACAGACGUGAAAACAUCGCUGUGGUCCAUCUCUAUUUACUGCAAGCAGAAGGGUCAAGACAGAAAACAUAGAGGCUUUUAGUAGGAGAGGGCAGACAUGCUUUAUCAUAUCAUUGAGCUACAAUUCUGGCCUACAGCAGAGAUACAGCCUGGUAUCCAUUAAGAGCAAGGCCUCUGGACCCAGGCUUCCUGGGCUUGCCUCCUGAUCCCAUCUUUUACUAAUUGUAUCGCCACAGAAAGAAAGGCUCCAGAUUUAUGUUUCCUGGUAUUGCUGCUAUUGGUAUUACUGUCCAUUAUUACUAUCAUCAUCAUCAUCACUAUUAUUAUUAUUAUUUUGCAAUUAAACUACAUUGGUGAAUCUUUAAUGUCCAUCUACUGAAAUAGCUACAGUGCAAGACGGAGAGAGGCCUUCAUGCAUGGUGUGCAUUUGCCACCUAGUGACCACACUGAGUCAGUAGCAUGUCCUGUUGGUCAGCACACUGAAGAAAGACACGCAAAUCGACUGCCGGGGAGAAGGAACAUGGACCAUCCACCCAGUCUUCCAAACAACAUCCCUCACCCAUAGUUGAAACUUUGGCUUCAGACCCUUCUCUGGCACUUCUGACAAUAAGUUUGGUGACCCAUGCUCUGGAGGAAGAAAGUGAAGAAGAGCAAGACUACUUCUCUGCAGCAAACUCUGAUGUUCUCUGUUCUUUCCUUACCACUGUUGUCAUGAGCAGCAUUUUUUCCCAUAGGUGCAUUGUUAUCCUUGCCAUGAGAGCAGACAAAAAUGAAAAAUAGUUGCCAAGUAACCAGAACUGCUGAUAAGAAACUUUGGGAAAUACCACUGAGAUGUGCUUUGGUAUUUUAUUUCUGGGAACAAACCAAUUGUCUUGGACUUUCACAGUACUCUUUUCUAUGUCUCACCCUUUACCACAAAGGUCCUUAAGUCCUUUGACAUGCAUAGUGUGAGGGAUUCUGGCACACAUUCUAGAACCUCGCAAAGUGGGGGGGGGGGGCUGCUAUCUGCUUUAUCAUCUUCAUUCCUGAAGUUUACUUUAAUUCUGAUUAGUUUGGCAUAAGGUCAUUUGUUGUAUGUAGUCAUCUGAGUUAUGUAUUGCCUGAUCCUGAGUAGCAGAGUAUUUAUCAUAAAUUCCUUGAUUUGCAUUGGUACCUAAUCAAGGAGGAGGAUAGUAUAGUUAAUUUCCAUACUUCCCUCUUGUUCUCAUGUUUGCCUCACCCAAGUGUUUCUGAGAUGCUGAACCUCCUCCAGAAAAGGUAAUGCUAAAAUUUCCUGUUCCCAAAAGGUGCUGCAGAACUCACUUCUAGUUGAAGUUUGAGUGUUUAAUUCACUUUUGUAAUCUCAUUAUUUGACUAAAGUAUUGUUAAAGUGAAUUUUGAAUGUUUGAAAUUUCCUAUGCAGAUUUAACAAAGAGAGAAAAUGACAAAACUAGAGGUAAGACACUCAGAAAUGAUUAUUUUUUUUUUCUGGCAUAUGAUGAGCCUGCCUGGUCUUUUAGUACUUACACAUAUUUUCACCUGCUAUCUAUUUUGAACUCAGUUGUGUACUUUUUCUGGGAACAGAGAGGAAGUCUGACUAGCAUUGCUUGCUCUUUUUGCCCUAACUGCUACUGUGCCAACAUUAUAGAAGGAGCACCCUGAUUGCAUAGGAUAAUGAUAUGAUACUGCCUGAAGAGAGAAAGGAAGAGUAAAUCUUGAUAUGAA